UCUCUUCUGGAGACCGUUCGGCAGACCACCUGUUGGGCAACCCCCCGGCUCUCCAGUGUUGAUGUCACUUUCAGGAACCGACGGGCAUCCUGGGGAAGCUAACAGGCACUAGAGGCUUGAAGGACUGUAGUCAUCAAAUAGAGUCGCGAGUGUUACUGGGACUGUUGUGGUCCCGCAGAUAGAUGCAAAGUUUUAAAGAGUGGGUUGCAUAUGCGAUGUGUUCCCCUUUCUUAAGGCAAAGAAAGUGAGUUUUUCUUGGAGACCUUUUAAGAAAUUUCAGAGGUUCUAGUAGUUCGUUUCCAAUCGCUUUUUUAAGAUCAUUUAGGAAUCACUCCAGAAGAAAUGUUCCGAUAAAUUUUGAUCUAGAGAAAGGGAUCUUAGUUGGAGGUGGUUAAAUAUUUGGGUCCAAAACCCGGCAAGAAAAGCCACCACCAACUUUUCCUAACCAAACAUGGUCGGGUCCUCCUCCACAGAGCCCAGGAUGAGAACACUGGAUUAUUUAGGAUUACAGUUGCUCUCUUAUCCCCCUAGAAAUCUGGGUAGUUUCCAGUUUAUUAACAGCCUGCUAGAGACUGGGCAGAAGAAAAAAGGGUGUGUGUGUGUGUGUGUGUGUGUGUGUGUGUGUGUGUGUGUGUGUAGUUAAAAGUUCCUUUAACCACAAGGCAAUUUAAAGCUCCUCAUUUUAGAAAUUGUAUCAAUGGAAUUUUAAAACGGUGACUUCUCUGUCGAUUAACAAUUCCCAUUGCUACACUCCUGUGCAAAUUCAGGUGAAUUUAUUUAAAAUAAGAUUUUUAAAAGAUUGUGAAAGGUUUGGAGUUACAUGUUUAGUUUUCCUCUGUAUCCUAACAAUAAUAAUAUGGUUCCUAGUUUCAAUUUACUUAAAAGCUAGACAGAGUUGCCAGGCUAGUAAGAUAAAUUUCCUUUUAAAAAUUCACCUGGUUGAUUUGUGUUUCAUUUACUCUAAGGAUGUCCAAAGCUUUCUAGAAAUCCACUCUCCCUACCUGCUGCCAAACGGAAGGAAAGUUAUUUGCAAGGUCUAUCUCAGAGUUAUUGUGGCUUCAAUUCCAGAUCACACAUAAAAAUGUCAGUCUCUUGCUGUUUCUACCACCUCACCUCUGCACCCACCUGCAAAAAGGGACUAGACACUGAGGAACAACAAGUACAAGGCCAGAGAUACAAAGGUGGUCAGUAAGGAAACUCAACUUAAACAAAGAUGGCAUUGAGCAUGUAAAUGAAGAUAUGUGCUUAAUAGUAAAAGUAAAAUUAUCCUUUCCAUAAAGAACAUGAAAUUACAAAUCUAUGGAGAGAAGAAGUUCUUGGUCACUGCUGGGCAGUGUGUGCGUGUGUUCAGGGGACAGUGAACAGGAGCAUCAGCUAGAAAGAAGAUCCGGAUCCUUCAUCUUUUGGAGAUUUGCCCCCUGCACUUGUGGAUCCAGUUUGGGGAGGUCCAGUUUGGCUCUUUGAUAAUGUCUCUGGAGCUUGAAAUGAUUUCCAGUGGUGAAGGCCCGUCAUGACCCAUGUACCUCAUAUGAGCUCUCUAGGUUAGACAACUGGCAAGAUAAAAAUGAACAUGAAAUGUUGAAAACAACCAAGAGAAAGCUAUAACCAUUGUUCACUGUCUUUCCCUUCAAUACAAUACAAUAAAAGGAGAUUCCAUAAAAUCA